UACGUAGGGAGCAAGCGUUAUCCGGAUUUAUUGGGUGUAAAGGGUGCGUAGACGGGAUUACAAGUUGGUUGUGAAACCCCUCAGCUCAACUGAGGAACUGCCACCUAAACUAUAAUUCUUGAGUGCAGGAGAGGAAAGUGGAAUUCCUAGUGUAGCGGUGAAAUGCGUAGAUAUUAGGAAGAACACCGGUGGCGAAGGCGACUUUCUGGACUGUAACUGACGUUGAGGCACGAAAGUGUGGGGAGCAAACAGG
rnacentral:rRNA from 1 species